rnacentral:rRNA from 1 species
AUGCGUUACUGCGAUACUGAAAAUAAAUUUCCACAUCUAGCAAUCAUCGUUUAUGGUAUGGACUACGAGGGUAUCUAAUCCUCUUUGCUACCCAUACUUUCGCGCCUCAGCGUCAGUGUUGAUCCAGAAAGCCGCCUUCGCAACUGGUGUUCUACAUAAUAUCUACGAAUUUCACCUCUACACUAUGUAUUCCGCUUUCCUCUAUCAAACUCUAGUCGAGCAGUUUUAAUUGCAGUUCCAAAGUUAAGCUUUGGGAUUUCACAAUUAACUAACUCAACGGCCUACGCGCGCUUUACGCCCAGUAAUUCCGAACUACGCUAGGUCCCUUCGUAUUACCGCGGCUGCUGGCACGAAGUUAGCCGGACCUUAUUCUUAGGGUACAGUCAUUAUCUUCCCCUACAAAAGAGCUUUACAACCCAAAGGCCUUCUUCACUCACGCGGCAUCGCUGCAUCAGAGUUUCCUCCAUUGUGCAAGAUUCCCCACUGCUGCCUCCCGUA